UACAGAGGUGGCAAGCGUUGUUCGGAAUUACUGGGCGUAAAGGGCGCGUAGGCGGUCCUGUAAGUCCCGUGUGAAAUCCCCCGGCUCAACUGGGGAAUGGCACGGGAGACUGCGGGGCUUGAGUUCGGGAGAGGGAAGCGGAAUUCCGGGUGUAGCGGUGAAAUGCGUAGAUAUCCGGAGGAACACCGGUGGCGAAGGCGGCUUCCUGGACCGACACUGACGCUAAGGCGCGAAAGCUAGGGGAGCAAAC
rnacentral:rRNA from 1 species